GCUUGCUACAGGCUUAACACAUGCAAGUCGAGGGGCAGCAUGGUCUUAGCUUGCUAAGGCCGAUGGCGACCGGCGCACGGGUGAGUAACACGUAUCCAACCUGCCGUCUACUCUUGGACAGCCUUCUGAAAGGAAGAUUAAUACAAGAUGGCAUCAUGAGUCCGCAUGUUCACAUGAUUAAAGGUAUUCCGGUAGACGAUGGGGAUGCGUUCCAUUAGAUAGUAGGCGGGGUAACGGCCCACCUAGUCUUCGAUGGAUAGGGGUUCUGAGAGGAAGGUCCCCCACAUUGGAACUGAGACACGGUCCAAACUCCUACGGGAGGCAGCAGUGAGGAAUAUUGGUCAAUGGGCGAGAGCCUGAACCAGCCAAGUAGCGUGAAGGAUGACUGCCCUAUGGGUUGUAAACUUCUUUUAUAAAGGAAUAAAGUCGGGUAUGGAUACCCGUUUGCAUGUACUUUAUGAAUAAGGAUCGGCUAACUCCGUGCCAGCAGCCGCGGUAAUACGGAGGAUCCGAGCGUUAUCCGGAUUUAUUGGGUUUAAAGGGAGCGUAGAUGGAUGUUUAAGUCAGUUGUGAAAGUUUGCGGCUCAACCGUAAAAUUGCAGUUGAUACUGGAUAUCUUGAGUGCAGUUGAGGCAGGCGGAAUUCGUGGUGUAGCGGUGAAAUGCUUAGAUAUCACGAAGAACUCCGAUUGCGAAGGCAGCCUGCUAAGCUGCAACUGACAUUGAGGCUCGAAAGUGUGGGUAUCAAACAGGAUUAGAUACCCUGGUAGUCCACACGGUAAACGAUGAAUACUCGCUGUUUGCGAUAUACUGCAAGCGGCCAAGCGAAAGCGUUAAGUAUUCCACCUGGGGAGUACGCCGGCAACGGUGAAACUCAAAGGAAUUGACGGGGGCCCGCACAAGCGGAGGAACAUGUGGUUUAAUUCGAUGAUACGCGAGGAACCUUACCCGGGCUUAAAUUGCAGAUGAAUUACGGUGAAAGCCGUAAGCCGCAAGGCAUCUGUGAAGGUGCUGCAUGGUUGUCGUCAGCUCGUGCCGUGAGGUGUCGGCUUAAGUGCCAUAACGAGCGCAACCCUUGUUGUCAGUUACUAACAGGUUCCGCUGAGGACUCUGACAAGACUGCCAUCGUAAGAUGUGAGGAAGGUGGGGAUGACGUCAAAUCAGCACGGCCCUUACGUCCGGGGCUACACACGUGUUACAAUGGGGGGUACAGAGGGUCGCUACCACGCGAGUGGAUGCCAAUCCCCAAAACCUCUCUCAGUUCGGACUGGAGUCUGCAACCCGACUCCACGAAGCUGGAUUCGCUAGUAAUCGCGCAUCAGCCACGGCGCGGUGAAUACGUUCCCGGGCCUUGUACACACCGCCCGUCAAGCCAUGGGAGCCGGGGGUACCUGAAGUGCGUAACCGCGAGGAGCGCCCUAGGGUAAAACUGGUGACUGGG
rnacentral:rRNA from 1 species